UACGGGGGGUGCAAGCGUUAUUCGGAAUCAUUGGGCGUAAAGGGCGCGCAGGCGGCUUUUUAAGUCAGAUGUGAAAGCCCGGGGCUUAACCCCGGAAGUGCAUUUGAAACUAAGGAGCUUGAGUAUGGGAGAGGGAAGUGGAAUUCCUGGUGUAGAGGUGAAAUUCGUAGAUAUCAGGAGGAACACCGGUGGCGAAGGCGACUUCCUGGACCAAUACUGACGCUGAGGCGCGAAGGCGUGGGGAGCAAACAGG
rnacentral:rRNA from 1 species